AUGAAGUAUGACGAGCGAUACACGGAGUAUAUCCGGAAGACCGUGCUUCUCCCUUUCAUCUCACUCGUGUCUCUUUCGAUGCCGAAGAUGAACCCUUGUGCGAUCACGGCACUCGUUGACCGAUGGCGCCCUGAGACACAUACUUUUCACUUCUAUGCUGGGGAGAUGACUGUCACUUUGCAGGAUGUUUCUCUGAUCACUGCACUUCCAUAA
rnacentral:rRNA from 1 species